rnacentral:rRNA from 1 species
CAGUCGCCGCGGUAAUACGGAGGGAGCUAGCGUUGUUCGGAAUUACUGGGCGUAAAGCGUGUGUAGGUGGUUGUUUAAGUCUGUCGUGAAAGCCCUGGGCUCAACCUGGGAAUUGCGAUGGAUACUGGGCGACUAGAGUGCGGUAGAGGAUAGUGGAAUUUCCGGUGCAGCAGUGAAAUGCGUAGAGAUCGGAAGGAACAUCUGUGGCGAAGGCGACUAUCUGGGCCAACACUGACACUGAGACACGAAAGCGUGGGGAGCAAACAGGAUUAGAUACCCCUGAGUCCCUGUCUCUUAUACA